CAGUCGCCACGGUAAUACGGAGGGUGCAAGCGUUAAUCGGAAUUACUGGGCGUAAAGCGCACGCAGGCGGUCUGACAAGUCAGAUGUGAAAUCCCCGGGCUUAACCUGGGAACUGCAUUUGAAACUGUCAGGCUGGAGUCUUGUAGAGGGGGGUAGAAUUCCAGGUGUAGCGGUGAAAUGCGUAGAGAUCUGGAGGAAUACCGGUGGCGAAGGCGGCCCCCUGGACAAAGACUGACGCUCAGGUGCGAAAGCGUGGGGAGCAAACAGGAUUAGAUACCCGAGUAGUCCCUGUCUCUUAUAA
rnacentral:rRNA from 1 species